AGCACUGGUGUUUGCUUUUGUUUAAUUUGUAGAUGAAGACUUUUAGGCAAGUAAAAGAAAUAAAUCCUCUUUUUAAACCCAGAAUACAUUGUUCAGUGUAAGUUUUGAUAUAUUAAAAAGAAAUACU